GUAAAGAUGGUUUUCCUAAUACGCAAUCUGAACCUGUGAUGAGCACACCAUCACUUUCCACCUCGGGACUCUGGUCUACUCGUCUUAUUCACGUGUGGUAGUGGUAAGGUCAUCUCCUGUUGUCUCUGUGCACUAGAGACAGUGGAUUGAUAUUUCAUGUGCUCCCAGAGUCGUGGGUGCUGUGUGCCUGCUCUUAUAUGGUGGUGCCCUGUACAGUGGAGGAACUGCCUUGUGUAAUGUCCUGGAAGCCUUCCCUUCAUAUGGGGCCGAGCAAGCUGGCUCUUACACAACACUGCACGAGGCUGGAGCACUGCCACAGCUGCUGACAUCACAGAUUUGGGAAGAGCAACAGAAAAAUUGACUUUGAAUGUUGAAGAGGGAAGCAGAUGCAUAUUCUUCAUUGUAGAAAGAAACAACCUGAAGCCCCUUCAGAUACUGAUGGGCCGCUCUCUGCUCUCCCCAGAGCCCUCCCUUCCCUCAGCCUGUCCCGUAAGAGAGCUGUUCCAUCCCUUGGAUCAUUUUUGUGGCCCUUCUCUGGACACGCUUCAACAGCUCCAUGUCUCUCCUGUACUGAGGACCCCCCAUCUGGACGCAGUGUUCCAGGAAUGUGCAAGACGGUUAAUUCCACCUCUUAUGGAACAUUUUCAGCCAUACUAUGGCCUGAGAACUGGAAUGGAAGCAAAAUGGACAAACAUGGGCUAACCUUGUUGAGUCAGCUGAUUCUGAUGUGCCAUACCAGUGGUCCCAAAAGGACCAAAAUCCCUCCAAAAAUGGGAGAUGCAUGGAGGGAGAACCUCCUUCUGAGCCUGGCAGAGGCAUUUGAUCCUGAGAGCCAGCCUCCUCUCUUGUUUCCUUGGGGUAUCCAGUUUAAUUUAAUCUUUCACCAUGAAAACUGUUUUGUCUGCAAGUAGAACAUAUCUUGGCCACCUUCCACAACUGUGUGUAGAUACAUCUGCAUAGUUCUGUUAAGCAAGGAAUGAUUUAAAACACUGAAUUGAAACAAAGACUUAUUUACCAUAUGUGAGGUUUACAGCAGCCUCACCUCCCUCUGAUGGCCAGUGACAUUCCCCAGUGAGGAAUGCAUCAUCCUCCACACCUCACGUUCCUUGUCAGUCUGUGCUUAAGAGGUGUGACACAAACCUUCCCUCAGCCCCAUUGCAUGCAGCCCAUAGCUGCCUCUUGCAUAGAGCCAGAAUUGACAGGAGUCAACUGCUUUUCUUGCGCAAUCCUUCAGCUCUUCACCUCCUGGCAAACUGUAGCAGCUGAAUUUGCACAUCUCUGCAGCAAAACACCCAACCAGUGCGUAUAACUCACCAGGUUGUUUUGGUAUUUCCAACAUUUACGGGCUGAUCUCUGUGCUGUGUGUGCUCUGCAUCCCGUCUGAGUGCUUGUAAGGAAGGAAAGGAGCCGUGGUGCUCUGAGACCAAAAAACAGAUUAUCCAAAUUAAGAUGAAUGCAACUGGGAUAAAGGCAGUUACAGAACGGUGUCUCCGAGCAUCUGGAGUGUGAAUAAUACCACAUCUCAGCUGCUUUGCCUGGGUUCCUUCGGAAGAAGGUGAAGAUUGGCUUCAGUGCCUUGAAAAAUGUGUCUCAGCCCCUGUGUCCUUGAUGUGAGUGGGAGGAUUGUGAGUGGGAGCGGGGUCCCACCUCAUUGUGCUCCAAGAGCAGGACUGAUGGACAAGGAGUGAUGGGGCCGGGCCCGCGUGGCUGCCAUCAGGUGAUCUGCAGGGCAGGUGACAAAUGGACGGAUACAAAAGGGAUUCGAUCUGCCAUGUCAGCUGCUUGGAGCUUUGUAAGCUCUCAUCCUUUGAAAGGACAGCGCAGAGCCAUGCUUCCUGCCUCCUGUUUGCUUUCCUUUCGCUCAGCAUCCUCUCAUGGACUCUCAUGGACUCCUCAGCUCUGCCUGAAUGUGCCCCAGUUUCUGGGUUUUCUCCUAUUUGGAAAUGUGUUUUUGGUGAUGAUCAUACUUUGUAUUUGAGAAAGAAAUAGCUCGGGAGAGAGAGAAUUGUUCUCCUGGUAGACAUCCCACUCAGUAUCCCAUAAAUAAAUGGGAGUUAAAAUCUCAUCGCAAUCUGGUUGCGCUAGAAACCGCACUUCUGGCUACGCUACGCCCAAGGUGGAUGCUGUAAGAAGCUGGUAAUUUACCAUCACUGCUCUAAUGAAAUAUUUAAUCAGAUUAAUUAAUGUGACUUCAUUAGUUGGUAUGCUCCUCAGCCUGGAUCUGUUACUGCAGCUUCCUUGCCCUUUUGUAAAGCGAUGUGGAAAGCGUGAUUUAUCGUCUCCAGCAUCUCCUCCGUUACAUCUGCCUUGCUGCAGCUGGACGACCAAACCUGUCUCUCAUUGAUCAGCUUCAGGGGAAAGCAUUCACAAGAGCUGCCUGGAGAGGAGCCAGGCUGGGGUCAGACUGCAACCAAGGGAGCUUCCUUUCGUCUCCAGUGAGCCCCAGGUUGGCUGGCCAGGUUCCAGCCGGGCACACUGGCGUGACAGCGUGAGGACAGCCAGAACUGGGGGCUAUGGGAGAGAUGAUUUUGGCUGAUUCCCUUGGAAAAUCAACACUCAAAUACACAGAAUAGUAUGUAUUUACUUGUUCGCUUGGUUACUUGCCCCCCUCCCCCCCCGCCUCUCAAUCUUCGAAGCAGCAUUGGUGGCCAUUGGUCACUGUCAGUGUGUGAGGUGUAAGGCUCCUUUCUGUGGCAGAGGUGAAUCACAGAGGAGCCACAUGAAGUGGCAGGGUGAUUCAUAAGGAUGUCCCUUGCAGCACCAACAUGUGUAUCAUUUCUCUACUUUCCCCUUCCUUAACAGCAGCAUCUGCUCUCUGCCAGUGUUGGGGACCCAGUGUCCUAUGGGAUCUGUCCUGGCGGGGCUGUGCCCUUUUGGCAGCAGUGGGAUACAGCACACUGGGAUGGAGCACACUGGGAUGCUGCACAUCAGCACACAGCACACCAGCUCCCUCUUGCUGCCAUCAGCUUCUGCCCACACGGACAAGCAGGGGCAGCAGGCAUGGGGCUCCACAGCAGGGCUGUGCCUUCUCCUACACGUGCAGAAUCUAUUUUCCCUGCCUCAUUUUACUGCUGCGUGUCAGGGAUAAGCAUACACAAUAUAUGGCUCCCACUACCACUUUCUUGGCAACUAGUAAUUUGAAGUUUUACUAUACAUUGUAUUACACACUGCAAAGUUGUUGACUUCCUCUGGCUGAUCUCAAAUGCACUUAAAUCAUGGAUGAAUGAACGUAUUUUUCAAAGAUAAGCCCAGAGCAAAUGAAUUGGAUUUAUUUUUAAUGCUGACUUGUUUCUAAUGCCCAGUGACACAUGAACAAACGAUUGCCAUCAGUUGUCCUCUUUCUCCAUGGGAUAUUGCUUUGGGCAGGAUAAUAUCAGUGCAUUUAGUGUUAUAAAUCAUCCCUCUGGCUUGAUAUUUCUUCUUUAAGGAAGGGCUGAGAUUCAUCCUCCAGAAGAUAGAUCAAGCUUUCCUUCUUGUCGUGGCACCAAUGAAGCCAACAGCAAGACUUGUGUGUAUUGUCUGAUUCAAGGACACCUCUGCCCAGGUGUGUCUGUGCUGGUUGUCCUCACCGGGUAAGGAUGGG
ensembl:lncRNA